UCGAAUUGGUUCUUUACUGAGUGUAAACUAGUUGUCAUGCGAUUUGCGCCAUUGCAAAAAUGACGUGUAAAAUGACAGGAAAACGUUAAAGUGAUCAAAGGCCAGAUGUUCUUAGUUUUUUUCAAAUUUUUCCUUUUAGAUCUUAUUGGUAUGAGGAUAAUAAAUAAAAAACAAAGUUCUCCAGCUACAAUAGUGGAUUGUUUCUACAAUAUUAUAAUGGAGGAGGAUGAACCACAGCCUAUGAGGAAUUAUAAGCCAGCUCAGAAAGUAAAAAAUAGCGCUGAUAAGUUCUGGGACACGCAUCAAGAAUAUUAUGAAGCACGCGGUAAGCAUAGUACAGAUCGCGUCGGGAGGGUGAACAAACACAACACGGCUUUUCCAAAACUUAGAGAUGAGAUGCGCAAACGCAGAUCUACGGCCAAGGUUACCACAUCCAAUACAAGGUCAUCAAGAAAAUACACUUACCGUAAAAGACAAUGUAAGACUCAGUAUAAGCGUCGAGCACCAAUUUAUAAGCCCAUAAGAAAAUCCAAGGGAACUAACUUUAGAAGUAUCGG